CGGGUCAAGUAAGUUGAAGAUUACAAAAAAAAUUGUGGUGAUCGUGUUCUAUUCAUAGAAACUCUAUGCUGUUUAGCAGAUUUUAGGUAUGAGCCAGCAGUCAUAAACACAAGGUAUUCAAGUUUUGCUUGUGCUGGUAUUUACCUAUCAUCCCCAACAAUCUCAGCAUCAUCAUCGCUUGGAUAACAGCGUCCCUUUUGAUUGGAGAAUCCACUAAUAUUCGGUAGAGUUACGUACCUCUUCUUCCCCUUUAAUUCUCCUCUGUCCUCGUGUACACCCAUGUGAGUGUGGGUGUAUUCACGAGGACUCCCUUUUCCCCUAUCUCGUCUGGUGGAUUCAACUAUUCUGCGGAUUGAGCACUUUUGGAUGCCUGGCCGUAUUUCCCAGACACAAAGACGCACACGAUUCUCGCACAUGUACAACAGCAGCAGCGGUUGAAUUUUAAAAAAUCAGGUGGAAGAUAUGGAUAUCUAGAAGCCCACGAUCCCUUUUUUGCAUAAAUCUCCAUUUUCUCCCAGUGUGUGUGUGUAUCUAUUUGCUCGCCCUGUUGCUACUGGAAAUAUAUUUAAUACAAUACAGAAAAUGGAGACGUCUCGCCUAUACAUGCCUUUAUAUUUCUAGUGAUUACCAUUUAUUAUUCCUCGGGUCUUUUUUUAAUUUUUUCCUUUUCUUUUUCUUUUGUGGAUGUGCGUCCGGGGAGGAUACUUGUUUUUAUUUUAUUCAAAAAAUUAUUUGUUGCUCUAUGAUCUACUGGCUUGGUGAAAUGAAGGGUUCUGCCAGAGAAUAAAUAAUAAUAGGAAAUGGUGGAUGGAUGGAUAUACCGACCGAAGCCAGUAUAACCUUG